rnacentral:piRNA from 1 species
UCUCAACAUUUCAAAUAAGCUAUCCUG